rnacentral:lncRNA from 1 species
ACCUGGGGGCUACACCUAUGAAGAAUGUACAAAAGCACCACAACAAAUGAUCUAGUCUUCUGCAAAAUAAGAACAGCAUGUAAACAGUUUGGUAGAGUGAACCGAAUCAAACAAAAGGAAAAUACUGUUUGUUUGUUUUUUUGCCACAUCCUUGUUUUAGAUUACCCUCCUCUAUGCUUCUAUAAGAAUAUCUGUUUUUCUUAUUGUAAAAUUUAUUUUCCUUUAUUGCAAGCAUCUGUUUAUUUCUUGAGACAAAUAUAUACAGAUCCUAAUUUCUGGACCCUGUGCAUGUUACUUUACAUGGUGCUAUGAUUUAAAUGUUUGUCCCCUCCAAAAUUAAUGUUGAAAUUUAUUUGCCACUUCAAUGGUAUUAAGAGGUAAGACAUUUAAGAAGUGAUUAGGACAUAAAGGCCCUGCCUUCAUAGCUGGGAUCAAAACAUCAUAAAAGAGCGAGUUGGGUUCCUUCUUGCUCUCUCACCCUUUGCCUUGUGCCAUGUGAUGAUACAGAAAGAAAAUCAUCAUUAGAAACCAGAACUUGAUAUUUCCAGACUCCAGAACAGUGAGCCAAUAAAUUUUUGCACAUUAUGAUUUACCCAGUCUGUGGUGUACUGUUACAGCAGCUCAAACGUACUGAGAUAUAUGGCAAAGAAGACUUUGCUGAUGUCAUUAAAUCAACACUCUUGCAAUGGAGAGAUAAUCUUGAAUUACAUACAUAGCCUUGAUAUAAUCAUAAUAACCGUUGCAGGUAGAACAGAGGACUGAGAGUCAGCAGAGAGGGUGAUAGGAAACAGAGACUGGAAUAAUACAUUUUAAAGAUGGAAGAAGGAGCCACAAGCCAAGAAAUACAGGUAGCUACUGUUACCUGAAAAAGGCGAGGAAAUGGAUUCUCCUCUCAGAGCCUCCAGGAAGAGCCAGUCCAUCUGACAUUUUACUUUAACCCAGUAAAACUAAUUUUGGACUUCUGACUUCCAUAACUUAAGAUAAUAAAUUCAUGUUAUUUUAAGCCACUUAGUGUGUGGUAACUUUUCACAACAGCAAUUGGAAAUUAACAUCCCUCUUUAACUUUCCACGUCCUUCACUAUACUAUAAGCUUUGUGCAAAGUAGAAUAAAGGUAAUUUCUAUCUCAUUCAUUUUUUAAGUUUUAAAUCACAAUAUCUGCAGAGAAUGGCAAAAUGCUUGGUACAUGGUAUGUAUUCAAUACUCAAUGCAUCUUUCAUUAAUUAAAUGACCACCUUUCUUAAGAAUAAAGAGACAGUUAAAAUUCAGAACAUUGAAUUCAACAAUGAGCUUCUUUUAGACAUAACUCAGCUAAAAGAUAUUAGGUGUAU